GCGCUUACAACCAGACUUGAGCGCGGCAGUUCCCCCGUCCUUUUGGACGGGCUAUUCUGCCGUGUCCAGGCCAACAUCGGUUCUGGGGGUCGGUCAAAGGCUCCAGGAAUGUAUCUACUCCUUCGGGUGUAGACUUAUAGCCUGGGGUGUCAUGCGGCCUCCCGGGACCGAGGAACGCGCUUCGGCUCGGAUGUUGGCGUAAUGGUUGUCAGCGACCCGUCUUGAAACACGGACCAAGGAGUC
rnacentral:rRNA from 1 species